rnacentral:rRNA from 1 species
AGAGCCUGUUCUAUAAUCGAUAAUCCACGAUACACCAAACCAUUUCUUGCCUCAGCCUGUAUACCUCCGUCGUAAGCUUACCCUGUAAAUGCACAUAGUAGGCUCAAAGGCCUAACACCCAAACGUCAGGUCAAGGUGCAGCCCAUGAAAUGGAAGCUAUGAGCUACAAUUUCUAACUUAGAACUAAUCAAAAUACUAUAUGAAACAUAGUCAUGAAGAAGGAUUUAGUAGUAAAUAAGGAAUAGAGAGCCUUAUUAAACCCCGCUCUGGGGUGUGUACAAACCGCCCGUCACCCUCUUCAAUAG